rnacentral:rRNA from 1 species
GAUGAACGCUGGCGGCGUGCCUAAUACAUGCAAGUCGAGCGAACAGACGAGGAGCUUGCUCCGCUGACGUUAGCGGCGGACGGGUGAGUAACACGUGGAUAACCUACUUAUAAGACUGGGAUAACUUCGGGAAACCGGAGCUAAUACCGGAUAAUAUAUUGAACCGCAUGGUUCAAUAGUGAAUGACGGCUUUGCUGUCACUUAUAGAUGGUUCCGCGCCGCAUUGGCUGGUUGGUAAGGUAACGGCUUACCAAGGCAACGAUGCGUAGCCGAGCUGAGAGGGUGAUCGGCCACACUGGAGCUGAGACACCGUCCUGGCUCCUACGGGAGGCAGCAGUAGGGAAUCUUCCGCACUGGGCGAAAGCCUGACGGAGCAACGCCGCGUGAGUGAUGAAGGUCUUCGGAUCGUAAAACUCUGUUAUUAGGGAAGAACAAAUGUGUAAGUAACUAUGCACGUCUGGACGUUACCGAAACAGAAAGCCACGGCUAACUACGU